GCCCAACCCUGCAAGUUUUUAUACGAGUUCAGUAGAUUUGCUCAGGGUGUGAUAUCUGAUUGCAGUUUCAAAUCUACAUACAUUGACAUGCAGACAGAAAGGAUUUAUACUGACACAGAUUUAUUAUAUUAAUACACACAUGCUCCCAGUAGGGACAACUGUAUCACUAUAUUACAGUUUCAUGUCAAUGCAACUGAAAUUACAGUCUCUGCUUGUGCUGCUUUAAUUUUUCGUGGGGUGAUGACAGUAUCUCUAGGAGCCCCUGGAGAAUUGUAAUUUUAAAUUAAAGUACCCUGCCUGGUGUUUUUUCCUUAUAGAAGUUGCUUUUCAUUUUUCUUUUAAGGCUUAUAAACAAAUAGUAAGCAAUGAAAAGUAACUUACACUUCAAUUUGAAGGUACUUGCUUAAAUGAAAAAUAGAGUUGGAAAAACUUUGAAAAGCCCAGUUGCAGAAUCCACAGACUUAAAGCAUUCCAGACAACUGUUUGCCUAAAUUGGCUUUGCCUCUGUUGAAUUUAUUCUCUGCUGAAUUGGCUCUGGGAGCCAAUUGCACUCCCUACCCCGAACCAAGAGACUGGUCUCAGAGUAAAUAGUAAAAUAACAUCAAAUCAAACUUUAAACAAGGUACUAUGUAUUAAAUAAAAAACAAUGCAGUUCCAGUCAUUCAUGCAUUACAGUAUGAUGAACUGUAUGAUAUUUUCUUUCUCAUUCAUUAUCUGUGUAACCUGAAAUAAAUAGGAAAGAAAAGACAUUUAAAAUUAUGUUCCUUCAGAAACAAAAUUUUAAAAAUUUGUUGUGUAUAAGGGAAUGGAAAUCUCUGCCUGAAGACAGGCUCAGUGCCAGUAAAAAGAGUCCUAUCACAAAAUAUUUGUUUUAUUGUCUUAUCACUAGUUAAAAAUUUUCUUCCUCUGUGAAAGUUGUUUGGAUAUCUUUAGUACUACAUGUUGUUUGUCGAUGAUACACAGUUCUCUUAUUCUAUACAGUGAUAGGUUUGUAGCUGGGUUGUAUUUCUCAUGAAAAAUCUUGACUCAUUUGUUCCUUCUGAAUUUUCUUCUCUCUGAUUUCUUGUUAUAUUAUUCUGUAUAAACAUUAUAAAAGCCGCAUUGAAUAUGUGCUGCCUGCAGUUGUUGCUUAUACUUGUCGGCUAUUUAUAAUGUGAAAGCUAUUCAUUAUAUGAUAAAACACAUAGACCCUCUCUGAGAGUUAGGAUUAAAUGGCAUCUGCUUUCCUGUCCUGCUCUCUGAAGGUGAAGGGUCUGAAAUUUCCCCAAACCAAUUGUCUCCCUCAGCAUCCCGGCCACAGGGAAAGCUCUGCUGGAACCUCAAACUGGUCUUGAGCUUUGUCAAUUCGUGAGGAAGUCUUCAGAGCCCUGAGGCUAAAGACAAAGGAUAAUUUUGUUCUACAAGGCAGAGGUGACCUUACUUUUGCAUGUAGCUCUUUCAGCUGGUCUUGCAGUAUUGUAGCACAGUCCUAGUGAGUCCAAGCUCAAAUAGAUAAAUGAAUAAGAAUAUGAAAAUGGCACCAGUGGGUCACACCAAAAGUCAGCCUAACCCCACUGUCUUUCUGCAGGAAAGGCCAAAAGCAAACUCCUAGGAAGAAUUGGAAGGCAGGAUAAAGAUAUGAUGUUUUCCAGACUACCUCCCAACCUCUGCCAGAUUCCUUGAAUUAGAGAUGAUGUAUUUGUAUUUAAUACCUUUGACAGAUUUUCCUUUCAUGAGUUGGCCUAAUACCUUUCAAAACCACAAAAUUUUUCAAAAACAUAAUGCAAUGUGUUUUAAGAAGAAAAUUCCAUAUGACAGUAAGACAAGGUGAGCUAUUGUUAAAAUAGUGCUGCAGGUGUCAUUAGCAGCUACAGAAAGGCAGGUACCUAGCCCUUAACGAACAUAAAAAUCAGGUUUUACAAUCUUCUUGCUUUUUAAACCAGUCAUUGUGAUUUUGCAUGGACACCCCUCCCUCUUCCUUUUCAGUAGAAAUUAGCACAAAAAUAACUCUAUUUUCAUAAACUUGACAAAUUGGAAUGGAGUUCCUGAUUCACUCUACUUUGUGCUGCAUUUUUCCAAACAUCCUAAGAUAAAUUUUAUAUAUACAUAUAUAUAUAUGUAUAUAUAAAAUUUAUCUUAGGAUGCAUGAAGCCCUGUUGCAUAUACUUAUGAGGUAUUCAAACAGGGGUGUUGUUUCUUUUCUGGAAUCACCCCAGAAUGAACUAACAGUAUAAUCAUUAACUAUGUUGUACUCUAUGAUACCAUGCAUUUGAGUACUUUGCUCUGCUGUGGUAAUGAUGAGUGAGGGAAGGACCAUAACUGUGCAAAAUUCUUCAGCAUAUCUGAACAAGUUUCUGAGUACAACUCUGACAGAAGAAAUAGUUGAUAGCGUUGGGCCCAGACAAAUACUUACGCAUACAUGUAAGUUUAAGCACAGGAAUUUUUAUAUUCGAACCAAAAGACUGAGCAUCUUGGAGACUCAAACUCUGCAUGUGUAACUGUUAGCUUUAAAUAAAUAAUUUUAACACAGUGUGAUUCUGCUAGGUGGAAACCAUUUCUCUAUCACAAAGCUAAGCUGCCAGUAGUAUAGUGUUGGGGUGAGUGGAGGUUGUUUUUCUGUUCUUACUGUGCUCUCCCUUGAGUGUGAGGAAUUUACAACCAUUAAGCAGACACAGACAUGUCCCUGUCACCAAUAGGGGAGAUCCUUCUACUCUGACAUGGAGGUCUAAAAGCUGUAUAUUUAGGCCUAGACCUCCUUUAUGAUUAUAGACAUACUUGCACAGGAUGUUCACCAAAGUCCAAAAACCAUGGAGAGCAGCAGAAGAGCUCUCCCUACCUGCAAGAGUAGUUUUUGUGGGAUAUUGACAAUAAAGGAUGUCCUUUUGGCAGUGCCUAACUCUCCCAUACCUAUAGAGAAAGUUUAGUCAUCUAAAACAGAGCUCUAUACGCUACAACCCCACCACAAUUAUAUAUUCAACAUAAAAUGUGUUACACUUGGUAACUGUUAAGCAGAUAUAGUAUUUUUAAGUUUCAGGAGAUGAAACAUCAGUCCCUAGUACACCAAGACAAGCUGUGUCCCAAUGCUUUUAUCAAAGUAGGAAAGAAGAUGAAAUCUAAACCAACUUUUUUUUAAGAAUAAAGAAAAAAAAUAUCAAUCUCCAGGUUGCCUAACCAGGGGCAAUGGUUAGGUGAAAAUAUCCAGUGAUGUAACUAGGAACUUAUCUGGGCCCUGCAGUUUCUUUUGGUUUACCAGCAACAAAUUGUACGUAUUUGCAGUUGAGGAAAAAGGUAAUUUUUAGUGAUGCUGAAACUUCAGCUUCACAUGUUCAGUUUCCCACGAGAGGGCACUGUUAUAUUUUUAAUGAAGGCAAGGUUCUGCCCAACGCUGGGCGGGUUUGCAUAGCUUGGAGUGUACAGUACAAUUCUAGCUGCCACAAGGCAAGCAGAAAAAUGCAGGAUCAGAUUCACCUCGUCGCACAUCUGUCAACACUCUGCAUCAUCUGGCACCCUCCACUGCUAGCCCAUCGUGCACAGCAAGUCUUCAGCGUGCCAGAUGUGUCAGGCUUACGCACGUUAAAAUAAAUAAUCGGUUCAUACACACCGUGUCUGAUGUGGCCAGGAUAUGGCCCGGUUUAACUUGGGAUCAAAGGGAUCUAUGUCCUUCUCCUAGGGAGGAAUGAGGCCACCUGUGUCACCAAGCCAGUGAGAAGGAUCAAUCUGAAAUCAGACUGUCACACUCAGCUCUACACCAAGAAAGCAUCUAUGUUAACCUAAACCCAGCUGAGACAACAAGGGAGAGCCAGGCUGAGCUAACACAGGUUUUUUUCCCAGCUGGUUAUAGCUCUGCAAGAGGUGCUUACAAAAUCACUGGUCUUCACUGGACCUACAGAAGUCACAUGGCUGUGACCUGCCGAUCUUGUCAGAAGCAGAGAAAAUCAUAGAGAAAAGCUGGGCAGCUUUUAGUUACAGAAAUACUUUGUAAUAAUGUGAUUUCCUUGACUGCAUUGUUCUGUGAUGACACAUCUCCACCUUGCUACCUCCUGUGCUCCAGCUAAUGCGUCAGCCACUGUCUGUUCUGGGCCAAACUCAUCAUCCGUAAUGUAAUCAAAGGGAGAUCAGAAAUAUGGGGUCUCCUGUGAACCUGUGAUGUUGUACUUCAGGAUGAGACAGAUGACCUCUCUGCUUUUGGGAUUCGAAUAUGGGGAAUCUCUAGCUAGUUCAUCUAAUGGGACCAGUCGCUUCACUUCUCUGGAGUGUUUUGUGACUAUUUACUUUAACACGCUUCUUAAACUUCUUCUUUUGACCCACUGCAGAAAAUCUCAGUGUUUAACUGGCUGCCAGUAUCUCCACUAUUCAGUCUCUUGCUUUUCAGCCAAAACCCUUAUGCUCUGCAGAUCCCCCACUUCCCAGCCCGACCCCAGCCAAGCCUGGUGUCAUUAAAGUUAGCCACACUAUAGCUAGCCUCCACACAAGUCUCUUGAGUUUGCAGGUGACGAUGAAGGCCUGUCCUUGCAAGAGUAUGAUUUAGACUGCUGGAGUGGGAUUCAUCUCACCCAGCUGUAGAAGCUAUGGGUC